rnacentral:lncRNA from 1 species
GGAAAGAAGAGAGUCAACUCUGCUUCAGCUGAAAUUAUUCCAAGGGGCUGGAAAGAAGGAUUAUUUGUAGAAAGUAUUCAAGGAUCAGCAGUAAAUGAAGCAAAGGUGAAGCAAAUUUUCAAGAAACAUUAUGAAACUGUAAACUGAUGAUAACACUGCGCAUGAAGAUCAGUUUGAGGAGGGAAGGAUCCAGCUUUUAAGAGAGUGGUACUUCAAAACUUGAUUGAGCAGCCUGAGAAUGAAGAGAUUUGAUUCCUUCAAAAGGAAUGCUCCUUCUGGGUAAGAGUUUU